GGCCUUGACAUACUAAGAACUUUCCAGAGAUGGAUUGGUGCCUUCGGGAACUUAGAUACAGGUGCUGCAUGGCUGUCGUCAGCUCGUGUCGUGAGAUGUUGGGUUAAGUCCCGCAACGAGCGCAACCCUUUUCCUUAUUUGCCAGCGGGUCAUGCCGGGAACUUUAAGGAUACUGCCAGUGACAAACUGGAGGAAGGCGGGGACGACGUCAAGUCAUCAUGGCCCUUACGGCCAGGGCUACACACGUGCUACAAUGGUCGGUACAAAGGGUUGCUACCUCGCGAGAGGAUGCUAAUCUCAAAAAGCCGAUCGUAGUCCGGAUCGCAGUCUGCAACUCGACUGCGUGAAGUCGGAAUCGCUAGUAAUCGCGGAUCAGAAUGCCGCGGUGAAUACGUUCCCGGGCCUUGUACACACCGCCCGUCAUACCAUGGGAGUUUGUUGCACCAGAAGUAGGUAGUCUAACCGCAAGGAGGACGCUUACCACGGUGUGGCCGAUGACUGGGGUGAAGUCGUAACAAGGUAGGCGUAGAUGA
rnacentral:rRNA from 1 species